ensembl:lncRNA
GGUAUUACCAAUUGAAAGGAGGGAUCUGGUGCGAAAAACAAUAAUAAGGAUAGCAAGAGCAAAAGACAAAGGGAGGCUAUGUGCCCUGCUUAAAAAACAAACAAAACUCCCACAGCCUUUCUCAGUCUUCCUUGGAGAGAGUGGUCCCAUGACAUUCUGGCCAAUGGAAGGUAAGUCAGGUCACUGGGUGGAGCUUUCAGGACUGCUCUUUGAAAGGGAACAGACUUGAGAGACAUUUGCCUUUUGCCUUUCCUCUUCUUCUGUCUGGAAUAUGGAUGUAGAAGAGGAGCAGUCAUUUAGUGGGCAUGAGGUGACAAGCCCACAGAUGAUAGCACCAGUCAAGGAU